rnacentral:rRNA from 1 species
CCCUUAGAUGUUCUGGGCUGCACGCGCGCUACACUGAUGCGUUCAACGAGUUUUUGACCUUGCCUGACACGGUUGGGUAAUCUUGUUAAAACGCAUCGUGAUGGGGAUAGAUUAUUGCAAUUAUUGAUCUUCAACGAGGAAUUCCUAGUAAGCGUGAGUCAUCAGCUCGUGCUGAUUACGUCCCUGCCCUUUGUACACACCGCCCGUCGCACCUACCGAUUGAAUGGUCCGGUGAAGCCUCCGGAUUGGCGCGCACCUCGGUGCCGCCGAGAAGUUGGCUAAACCUUACCAUUUAGAGGAAGGUGAANUCGUAACA